rnacentral:tRNA from 1 species
GAGGGAUGGCAGAGAGGUUGAAUGCACUGGUCUUGAAAACCGGCGAGCCGCAAGGCUUCGGGGGUUCGAAUCCCUCUCCCUCC